GCAUAUCAAUAAGCGGAGGAAAAGAAACCAACAGGGAUUGCCUUAGUAACGGCGAGUGAAGCGGCAAAAGCUCAAAUUUGAAAUCUGGCACCUUCGGUGUCCGAGUUGUAAUUUGAAGAAGGUAACUUUGGAGUUGGCUCUUGUCUAUGUUCCUUGGAACAGGACGUCACAGAGGGUGAGAAUCCCGUGCGAUGAGAUGCCCAAUUCUAUGUAAAGUGCUUUCGAAGAGUCGAGUUGUUUGGGAAUGCAGCUCUAAGUGGGUGGUAAAUUCCAUCUAAAGCUAAAUAUUGGCGAGAGACCGAUAGCGAACAAGUACAGUGAUGGAAAGAUGAAAAGAACUUUGAAAAGAGAGUGAAAAAGUACGUGAAAUUGUUGAAAGGGAAGGGCUUGAGAUCAGACUUGGUAUUUUGCGAUCCUUUCCUUCUUGGUUGGGUUCCUCGCAGCUUACUGGGCCAGCAUCGGUUUGGAUGGUAGGAUAAUGACUAAGGAAUGUGGCUCUACUUCGGUGGAGUGUUAUAGCCUUGGUUGAUACUGCCUGUCUAGACCGAGGACUGCGUCUUUUGACUAGGAUGUUGGCAUAAUGAUCUUAAGCCACCCGUCUUGAAACACGGA
rnacentral:rRNA from 1 species